ACUGAACGCUGGCGGCAGGCCUAACACAUGCAAGUCGAACGAGUGGCGCACGGGUGUGUAACGUCUGGGAAACUGCCUGAUGGAGGGGGAUAACUACUGGAAACGGUAGCUAAUACCGCAUACCAUCAGAUGUGCCCAGAUGGGAUUAGCUUGUUGGUGGGGUAAUGGCGCACCAAGGCGACGAUCCCUAGCUGGUCUGAGAGGAUGACCAGGCACACGGGAACUGAGACACGGUCCAGACGCCUACGGGAGGCAGCAGUGGGGAAUAUUGCAGAAUGGGCGCAAGCCUGAUGCAGCCAUGCCGCGUGUAUGAAGAAGGCCUUCGGGUUGUAAAGUACGUUCAGCGGGGAGGCGUUACCCGCAGAAGAAGCACCGGCUAACUCCGUGCCAGCAGCCGCGGUAAUUC
rnacentral:rRNA from 1 species